CGGCCGUCCGAUCAUCCGCCGCUGUUCGAUCGUCCGUCUGCCGUCCGAUCAUCCACUACCGUCCGAUGUCCGAUCAUCCGCCGCUGUCCGUCGGCCGUCCGAUUGUCCGAUCAUUCGUCGCUGUCCGCCUGCCGUCCGAUCGUGUGCCGUCCGGUCAUCCACCGCCGUCCGAUUGUCCGGUCAUCCGCUGCUUUCCGACUGACGGCGGCGGAUGAACGGCCGGGAGGCAGACGGCGGCGGA
rnacentral:misc_RNA from 1 species